rnacentral:misc_RNA from 1 species
AAGUCGUAACAAGGUUUCCGUAGGUGAACCUGCGGAAGGAUCAUUAAUAAACAGCGAGCAAUCGCUUUAUAUUAUACUAUAAACACCUGUGAACUCUUUUGGCCUUCGGGCUGGAAAACCAUAUAAAACAUAACUGUCAAUGAACGUAAAACUAUUAUAAACAAUAAUACAA